UUGCCUCCUUCAUCGACAAGGUGCAGUUCUUAGAGCAACAGAAUAAGGUCCUGGAGACCAAAUGGAACCUGCUCCAGCAGCAGACGACCACCACCUCCAGCAAAAACCUUGAGCCCCUCUUUGAGACCUACCUCAGUGUCCUGAGGAAGCAGCUAGAUACCUUGGGCAAUGACAAAGGGCGCCUGCAGUCUGAGCUGAAGACCAUGCAGGACAGCGUGGAGGACUUCAAGACUAAGUACAUGGGGAGGAAGGAGGGGACGCCAUCUGACACAUGUGCCCAGCCACACCCAGGCUCCCGGGGCUCUCUCCAGUGGCUUAGAAUCUCAGGCUCUGAAGGCGUCUAGGAAGGCCCUCUAGUCUGUUUUGCUACAUCCACAUAGUCACGUUUUCUCAGGGUGAGGUCUGGUAACCACAGAUUUUUCCGAAAGGAAAUUUAAUGAUAGAUUCAGGGAUUUGGGUCUGCCAUAUACGAACAAGAUCAGAACCCAAAUAGAUGAAAAGCAGUAUAGUAUGAUUAGAAGAAUACAGACUGUAGAGACAGAUGGAGGUGGU
rnacentral:lncRNA from 1 species